ensembl:snRNA U6 U6 spliceosomal RNA
GCGCUCACUUCAGCAGCACAUAUACUAAAACUGGAAUUAUACAGAGAUUAGCAUGGCCCUUGCACAAGGAUGACACGCAAAUUCGUGAAGCAUUCCAUAUUUAA